AUUGAACGCUGGCGGCAGGCCUAACACAUGCAAGUCGAGCGGAUGAAGGGAGCUUGCUCCUGGAUUCAGCGGCGGACGGGUGAGUAAUGCCUAGGAAUCUGCCUGGUAGGGGGGGAUAACGUCCGGAAACGGGCGCUAAUACCGCAUACGUCCUGAGGGAGAAAGUGGGGGAUCUUCGGACCUCACGCUAUCAGAUGAGCCUAGGUCGGAUUAGCUAGUUGGUGGGGUAAAGGCCUACCAAGGCGACGAUCCGUAACUGGUCUGAGAGGAUGAUCAGUCACACUGGAACUGAGGCACGGUCCAGACUCCUACGGGAGGCAGCAGUGGGGAAUAUUGGACAAUGGGCGAAAGCCUGAUCCAGCCAUGCCGCGUGUGUGAAGAAGGUCUUCGGAUUGUAAAGCACUUUAAGUUGGGAGGAAGGGCAGUAAGUUAAUACCUUGCUGUUUUGACGUUACCAACAGAAUAAGCACCGGCUAACUUCGUG
rnacentral:rRNA from 1 species